CGGUUUCUCCCAUCCCCGCGGGAGCCGCACCCGCUCUCUCAAUACCUUCCAUCUUCAACAACAACAAACACUCCUUAACCCUUAACCCCUCAAAUGAGCCCCAUCACUCACCACCACCACAACCACCACCACCACCUCUCCAAAUCCUCCACCGCCCCCGUCACAACCACCACUUCCUCCACCACCCAAGCCUGUGCUGCUUGUAAAUACCAACGACGUAAGUGCGCUCCCGAUUGCAUUCUCGCUCCUUAUUUCCCUCACGAUCGUCAACGUCAAUUCUUAAACGCUCAUAAACUCUUCGGCGUUAGCAAUAUUACUAAAAUUAUCAAGAAUCUUGAUCCGUUUGAGAAGGAAGAAGCAAUGCGUACCAUUAUUUUUCAAUCUGAUGUUCGAUCCGUUGAUCCGGUUGGCGGUUGCUAUCGGAUUAUUCGAGAUCUUCAACGUCAAAUUGAAUACAAUAAGGCGGAGCUUGAGAUUGUGCUCCAUCAAUUGGCGAUUUGUAAGCAACAGGCCGCUGCUGCCGCGGCUGCUGCUGCUGCUGCCGCGAUUCUGGAAGGGGAUCCGAUGAGUGGAUAUAGCGGGAUUGAGCAUCAAUUUGUGGAAGGAUAUGAAGGGGAAGGGUUUGUGGUUGGGGAAAAUGAGAAUGGAGAGAGUUUGGAAGAUCAAGAAGUGGAGGUUUGGGGAAUUCAAGAUUCGUCGUGUUCUUCAUUGCAAUUGAAACAAGCUGGCUCUGUUCAUGAUUUCCAUGACAUCAAAAUCGAUGAUAAUAAUCAACAACAUCAACAACAACUUAAAUUUCAAAUCGAUCAUCAUGAUUUGGUUCAUCGUAGUGAAGAACCAAUGCUGAAGAUGGACAAUAUGAUAUUGAAAGAAGAUUCUGACCCAAUACAACAGGUUCAAGAUCAAGAACUUAAAGGUGCAAUAGACACUUUAUUUACCUUCCCAACUUGUGAUACUUAGCUUCAGCACAGCCCCUUCUCCUUCGUCACUUUAGUUUUCUUUGAUUAAUUAGUCCAUAAAUGCCUUAGGAGAAGAAAAGGUGUGAGUCAUUUAUAAAAGAGAAUGAGGAAUUAAAUAUUUGUUUAUGCAUCUUCUUGUCUUGUGAUUUCCAUUAAAGUUCAAAGUACCUCCUUGAAGUUGAUGACUCAAACUUAAAGAAAAACUAGAGCUCAAAAAGCGAAUGCUGUUUUGAAUAUGGAACAAAGAACAAAGUAAAAGACCGUAAAUAUGACCAUUACGGCUGAUCCAAUCUCCUUUUCAUAACUGCUGCUUAUCUUACAAAAAAAGUGAAGGAAACUCAAUUUUUCACAACCCAAAAAAUUGCGUUAUCUUAGUUUCUUUUUGCUUCUUUCCUUGAAGUUGGAGAUUCAAACCACCAUACCCCACUUUUGUAAUAUGCUCUAGAGCUCAAAAAAAGAAUAUUUAAAGUAAUUAUGUAAAGAUAACAGAAUUGGCAUUAUGACAAACUGAUCUAAUCUCAUUCUCA